CCUGGACCCUAUUUUCCAAUGAGUUUGUGUCUAAGCGAUUGACAGGAUCAACAAUCUUUGACAGUGGUCCAGUAAUAAGCAAUAUCGCUGCAGUCAGCAGUGAGCGAAACAGCCUCAA